CCGGUCCAUUUAGUUACGCGUCAAUUUGGCGCGAGAAAGGUUGUGAGUGAGACUGUGCUCUGACGUCACAAAAAGCCCGCGAAUCGUGUUUAACGUAAUAUUUUUUUUGCUAUGGUCUCGUGCAUAUUUAGAAAAAAAACUUUUGUUUGAUUUUUUUUUUAAUUUUGUUUAUUGAAAGUUAAUUUGUGUCUAAGUGGUGUUAUUUAUCAGGGAGUUUCAGAGGAGUGUAGGAAGGAUGCUAUAGUGAGUGACGUCAUGCAACCAUGUCUACGAGUCGCCACAGAUCGCGUCGCAGCUGGUGGAAGUCAAGGCUUAUACUGGCAGCCAUCACACUGGCAAGCGCUAACUCCCAGGAUAUAUCGGCGUGCUGCGAUAAAGCCGUUGGGACAUGUCGGAGUGUGUGCGAGAAGGUAAGGUCUUAAUUAGGGAUAUAAUGAGAAUAUGAGGUUUUUUUUAAU
rnacentral:lncRNA from 1 species